rnacentral:rRNA from 1 species
GUCAGCAGCCGCGGUAACACCGGCGGCCCGAGUGGUGAUCGUGAUUAUUGGGUCUAAAGGGUCCGUAGCCGGUUUGGUCAGUCCUCCGGGAAAUCUGAUAGCUCAACUAUUAGGCUUUCGGGGGAUACUGCCAGACUUGGAACCGGGAGAGGUAAGAGGUACUACAGGGGGUAGGAGUGAAAUCUUGUAAUCCCUGUGGGACCACCUGUGGCGAAGGCGUCUUACCAGAACGGGUUCGACGGUGAGGGACGAAAGCUGGGGGCACGAACCGGAUUAGAUACCCGGGUAGUCCCAGCCGUAAACGAUGCUCGCUAGGUGUCAGGCAUGGCGCGACCGUGUCUGGUGCCGCAGGGAAGCCGUGAAGCGAGCCACCUGGGAAGUACGGCCGCAAGGCUGAACUUAAAGGAAUUGGCGGGGGAGCACAACAACGGGUGGAGCCUGCGGUUUAAUUGGACUCAACGCCGGACAACUCACCGGGGGCGACAGCAAUAUGUAGGCCAAGCUGAAGACUUUGCCUGAAUCGCUGAGGAGUGGUGGUGCAUGG